AACGCACCUUGCGCUCCUUGGUAUUCCGAGGAGCAUGCCUGUUUGAGUGUCAUUAAAUUCUCAACCUGACCAGCUUUUGCGAGCUGGCUAGGCUUGGAUGUGGGGGUUGCCGGCCUUUUCCAUAGGUCAGCUCCUCUUAAAUGCAUUAGCGAAACCUUGUUGACCGCUGCUGGUGUGAUAAUUAUCUACGCUACGGCAGUCAGCUAACUUGGGUGUUUGCUUAUAACCGUCUGCAAGGACAACACUUUGACAAUUUGACCUCAAAUCAGGUAGGACUACCCGCUGAACUUAA
rnacentral:misc_RNA from 1 species